GCCUCCGUAGCUUAAAAUAAAGCAUAUCAUUGAGUG
rnacentral:tRNA from 1 species